ACGAGUUAGGGUCUUUAGGCCUGACCUCCCAACCCUUUGUUUACUAGACCUCUGUUGCUUCGGCGGAUCCGUCUCAAACUGACCGCCGGAGGGCCGCCCAACUGGGCGAUCCUCUGGCCAGUGUCCGCCGAUAGCCUCUUCAUCCCAACUCUGGAAUAAUCGUGACAAUGCUGUCUAAGUGAAUUUAUUCAAUUAAAAAGCAA
rnacentral:misc_RNA from 1 species